rnacentral:lncRNA from 1 species
UACCUAUUGCAUUUGGUGGAACUGAGCAGCCAGCGGCUUAUGGCGAGUUGGUGUCCAUUGGCGGCCUUAAUCCUGACGUGAACAAGAAACUGAGUGCUGCAAUUGCUACAAUCCUGGAGACAAAGUUGUCAGUUCCCAAAUCACGAUUCUUCCUCAAGUUUUAUGACACUAAGGCAAGCUAUCUCAAUUUAUAACUGUCAACAAGAUGGGUCAUUGCCAUGUGCAUGUGUCUUCUCAUUGCAUUCUUGUGUUUGUUUAGGCCCAUCAAAGUCAAGAAUAUGCACAGUGUUUGCACGCUUUACACCAGCAUUAGAUCAUGUAAAUAAAUCUUUUCUGUUUUUGAGACUCUGCAGUUAUUAACUUUUCAUUAGGAUCCAGAUUUUGCUUGCUGUCCGAUUAUGUUAAACAUUAGCAGCAAUUUUACAGCAAUAAUUUCUUCUACCGGGGUACUGAUGCUUCUUAUUUUAUUUUUCAGGGUUCCAACUUUGGAUGGAAUGGUUCCACCUUCUAAGUUCAGCCUCUAGUCUUGUUUGCCCACAAACUCGAUGCAAUCAAUCAGAAAGCUGUAUCUCUAUGGUGAUGUAGUCGUAUCAUAAAACUUG